rnacentral:rRNA from 1 species
UACAGAGGGUGCAAGCGUUGUUCGGAAUUACUGGGCGUAAAGGGUUCGUAGGUGGCCAACUAAGUCAGACGUGAAAUCCCUCAGCUUAACUGGGGAACUGCGUCUGAUACUGGAUGGCUUGAGUGUAGGAGAGGAAUGCGGAAUUCCAGGUGUAGCGGUGAAAUGCGUAGAUAUCUGGAGGAACACCGGUGGCGAAGGCGGCAUUCUGGACUACAACUGACACUGAGGAACGAAAGCCAGGGGAGCAAACGGG